CAGGUGCGGCUUCAGAUUUGAAUAUCCUGGGGCUCUUCCGUUCUUGAUCCGGGCUUCAGCUCUGAGCCGGAGGUUGGUGUCGGUGUCCGAAGGACCGGCAGGGAGCACACAGCUGCACAGAUUCCUUAAAAGCAAAUGGAAGUCACAGAUGUACAAACAGAGGAAGGAUUUGGGCCAUUUUUGUUACAGUCUGAAGAAAAGUCAAAUAUAAUCUACCAGCACCAAGAUGCUGUGCAGGUUCUCUAUGAUAAAGCAAAGAAGAAUACAAGGAGGGACCGGUGCAGGCAAUUAACAUCAACUGUUAGGACACUGAUUGCAGGUAUGACUGAAUUAUUAUAGGGAAGGUAUUGUUACCUCCCUUAGUGCCUAGAUAGUUCUUGUAAAGAAGAUAAAGCUUUAAACAAUAAAAUAUUUAGCACCCCUGGCAGAACGGUGCUAAAACCACAUGUACAGGAGGACAGAAGCUGCUCUCACACAGCAGCCAUCUUGUUCCACCUCUUCAUGGUCAUCCAAUUUGCUUUCUUAGCUUUUGUCUUAAAGUUAAGGCAGUCGGAGUUGGAAAAAAAAUCAGAGAUGUCCCUCUGGUGUAUUUCUAG
rnacentral:lncRNA from 1 species